GCGAUCAUACCAAGACUAAUGCACCGGAUCCCAUCGAACUCCGAGUUAAGCGUGCUUGAGCGAGAGCAGUACUAUGGGAAGUCCUCGUGUUGCACCU
rnacentral:rRNA from 1 species